rnacentral:rRNA from 1 species
GACGAACGCUGGCGGCGUGCUUAACACAUGCAAGUCGAACGGAAAGGCCCUGCUUGCAGGGUACUCGAGUGGCGAACGGGUGAGUAACACGUGGGUGAUCUGCCCUGCACUUCGGGAUAAGCUUGGGAAACUGGGUCUAAUACCGGAUAGGAACCAUCUUUAGUGUGGUGGUUGGAAAGUUUUUUCGGUGUAGGAUGAGCUCGCGGCCUAUCAGCUUGUUGGUGGGGUAAUGGCCUACCAAGGCGGCGACGGGUAGCCGGCCUGAGAGGGUGUACGGCCACAUUGGACCUGAGAUACGGCCCAGACUCCUACGGGAGGCAGCAGUGGGGAAUAUUGCACAAUGGGCGCAAGCCUGAUGCAGCGACGCCGCGUGGGGGAUGAAGGCCUUCGGGUUGUAAACUCCUUUCGCUAGGGACGAAGCUUUGUUGUGACGGUACCUAGAGAAGAAGCACCGGCUAACUACGUG